UACGUAGGUGGCAAGCGUUGUCCGGAAUUAUUGGGCGUAAAGCGCGCGCAGGCGGUUUCUUAAGUCUGAUGUGAAAGCCCACGGCUCAACCGUGGAGGGUCAUUGGAAACUGGGAGACUUGAGUGCAGAAGAGGAGAGUGGAAUUCCACGUGUAGCGGUGAAAUGCGUAGAGAUGUGGAGGAACACCAGUGGCGAAGGCGGCUCUCUGGUCUAUAACUGACGCUGAGGCGCGAAAGCGUGGGGAGCGAACAGGAUUAGA
rnacentral:rRNA from 1 species